CUUGAAGUUGUACGGCAGCUAUUGGUUGGAAGUUUUGAGACUGCAGACCGAUUGGAAGCUCUCAUAUACUGUGCUAUAUAUCUGAAGUGGAUAAACACUGGACAAAUUCCUUGCUUUGAAGAUGGAGGUCAUCACCGACCAAACCGGCAUGCUGAAAUUUCCAGCCUUAUAUUUCGGGGGUUGGAACAAAUUUCUUGCAGAAAAGAUACUUCGCCCAAGGAAAUACUUGUUAUCCGAAAGAUCCAUCCAUGCUUGCCAUCUUUUAAAGCAGAAUUUACGGCAUCUGUCCCUUUAACUCGAAUUAGAGAUAUUGCUCAUCGGGGUGAUAUCCCUCAUGAUCUCAAGCAAGAAAUCAAACACACUAUACAAAACAAGCUUCACCGCAAUGCUGGCCCUGAAGAUUUAGUUGCUACAGAA
rnacentral:misc_RNA from 1 species